UAGUUUAUUGUUACAGGUAUGCAAGUGUACAUGGGGUAUACGAGUAUGAUAAGAGUUAAGAGAAAAUAUGGUCAAUGAGUUUAAGUACCUUGGAACAGUUAUGUGUAAGCAUGGUGGUAUGGAGGGAGAGAUAAGAGAAAGGGCAUUGCAAGGAAGAAGGGUGGUAGAGUCUUUGGGACGAAUCAUGAAUGGCAGAAGUGUGAGCAUGGAGGUAAAGAGGGAUUUGAGAAACAGUGAUAGUACCAACCCUCACACAUGCAAGUGAAACGUGGGCCUGGAAUGAAAGUCCAGAGGUUUAGAGUGCAGGCAGUGGAAAUGAGUUAUUUGAGGAGUGCUUGUGGUGUGAGUAGAAUGGAUGGAAUGAGUAAUGAAAGUGUGUACGAGCAUUUUGGAAUGUGUCACAGGGGUGAAGGGAAGAAGUGUGGAGUGGUGGAAGAAGUGAAGCGACAGACCUUAAAGUGGUUAGGCCACAUGGAGCGAAUGGAGGAGAGUAAGAUGACCAGAAGGGUGUAUGUGCGUGAGAUAGAGGGAGGGAAUGCUAGAGGACGACCUCCAGUGAAAUGGAGGGAUAGGGUGCAAGAGUACGUUAGGGAGAGGGGGGAAAGAUCUUUGAGGGACUUUGAGCAGGCAAGGAGGGAGUGUCUGGAUAGAGUAAGAUGGAAGCUCUUCUGCUGUGGCCAUCCCCUGGUGGGAGCUCCUAGGAGCAGGUGUUGAUGAAAUGAUGAAUGAUGAUGAUGAUGAGAAAAUGUGUAGGUACCUUAUUAUAGACAAAAGGUGUGAUUGAAAAGUUAGGAAGAAUUAUUGAAAGUAUGUAUUAUAAUGCAAAAAGCUACUAUGCUGUGUAACAUGGCGCCUGAAACGCAUAUUAGCUUUUGGAUCAGCGAACUAAAGACAGACUGCUGAGGAGGGUGAGGUGUAGCAUUUGUUUCUCUAUUAAUUUUUCUCUUCAGUGACAUGGAACAUCAAAGGAUCAAGAGGGAGCGCCAGCCAAAUUGGACGGAGGAUGAGACCCUCUUUCUCUGUCAGCUGGUGUCAGAAAGAAAAAAAAUAGUAAUGGGGAAAUUCAGCCCCUCAUGCACAAUAAGAGAUAAACGGGCAGCUUGGGAAGCCAUAACAAAAUAUAUAAAUGACGUCUUCCCCUCUUGCCAGAGGACUGUGUCCCAAGUUGAAAAAAAGUGGCAAAACACGCUAUCAAACAAAAGAGCAGCGAUAACUAAUAGGAACAUCUCUUCCCAGAAAACAGGUGAGUGUUGCAACUUCAUAUUUUGGGGGGGAGGGUAAAAAUGGUAACAUAGUGCAUAACAAUGGUGGGUUUUACCAGGAAGUCACUUGAUGGAUUGGCCUGGCCCAUGUUGUUAUGGACUCACUCAAAACAAGUAUUUGGUGUGGUCAGUUUCUAUGCAAGUGGACAUGUAUUAAAAUCUUAAUGUCACUUAAUUCUGCUCCUUCUGGUUUUACUAUAUGGCUAUGUGACAUUGACACUGAAUUUAGUGACUUGGAGAGGUGUGUUAACGCCUUUGGCAGUAAGUGUCUACCCAUGAUCGUGGGGUAUUGCUGGAAUGACUUUGUGUCAUGACAGUGACUAUGUGAUGAAACUGAUUCGAGGCCUAUUACUAGCUUAAUCUGUGAAUGCUAAAUGUAGCUAAAUGGUCACGUGGCGCGCCUCCCAAAUGUCUAUCCUGUUCACAGGGCUGUGUCUGUACAAGACAACCUUGAGUGGAGGAGACCAAGGAGACGCCCACAUGACUCAUGGCUGGGGCAAGUCGAUAGAUCCUCCCAGGAGGUGGUUAGAAUAUUUUGCAUAGCUAACAAUUAGUACUUCCAUACAAAAAUAAUUAUCAUUCAGGCAUGAAUUAUCCAUUUUUACAGGUGGUGGCCCACCAGAUGCUCCUCCUGCCAAGGACCCGGUGGAGGAGAUUAUAAUGGAUUUUGUGGGUGAUAAAAAUAUCACUGUUCAUGGAAUUCUGGGGAUGGACUCCUCCAGGUUACAACUCGCAAAUGAACUUAUAGGAUCCACCAGAGGGGCAGAGGCAGAGGCAGAGGAGACACACGAUGCUCUUGACUUUCAUGACUAUUGCUUCCCGCAAUCAACGCACCCACCGAUACUGCCUCUUCCAUCACCAUCACCAUCACCUUCACCACCACCACCACCACCACGCAGGACAGCAGAUUUACAACCCCAAGGCAAGACUUAAUGGAUGGGGUUUUGGUUGCCAUGAGGCAGGGGUGGGAGGCUUGCAGGGAUCUUUGUAAAGAACAGGAAAAAUAUUAUAGGGCUAAAAGAGAAGGAAAUGGAAAACAAUAAAAAAUUAUUAAUCCUCACAACAUUACAAGUCAUUUCUUUCUGGCAUUUUUUAAAGCCAUAUCAUAUUAUUUCACCAUAUACAGUCUUGUUGGAUAUGAGGCAUGGAGGCAGAUGAAGGUUAAAAACAUUACAAACUAAUUUUCCUUUUCAGAUAAAGAUAUCCUUUCGAUGAUCCUUCAUGAAUUACACAGUCAUUUCAGAGUGUUGAUGCUAUUUAUAAAUACAUGGUACUACAACAGCGUCUAUAUAACUAAGGCGUGUAAUCCCUUUCAUUUUCUCGGACACACACUCUCAGAUUCCAUGUCUCAUGCACAUCCCGCCCCUCCCGCCUCUCUCUCUAUCUAUCUGGGAGUGGAUGUCUGAGUAAAUGAAAGGGGUUACACACCCUAGUUAUACAGACACCGUUGUAAUAACCAGCAUUUAUAAUUUGCAUAAACAUUCUGAAAUGAAUAUGUACUUCAGGAAGGAUCAUCAGAAGGGCAAUCUUUAUCUAAAAAAGGAAGAUUUGUUUGAAUUAUUUAACCUUUAUUUGCCUCCAUGCCUCAUAUAUAACAACACUUUAUAUGCAGAAAUGCUUUAAAAUAAUAUUUAACAUGAUGCAUAUUCACUUUACUUGUGUGCACCUGGAAUUUUGCCAGGCAUUAAUUAAAGGGGUCAGUUAUGCAUGCUGAAAUGGUUUAUAAUAAUAGGUAACAUGAUGGACAUUCACUUUGCUUGUGUGCACCUAGAAUUUUGCCAGGCAUUAAUUAAAGGGGUCAGUUAUGCAUGCUGAAAUGGUUUAUAACAACAGGUAACAUGAUGGAUAUUCACUUUGCUUGUGUGCACCUAGAAUUUUGCCAGGCAUUAAUUAAAGGGGUCAGUUAUGCAUGCUGAAAUGGUUUAUAACAACAGGUAACAUGAUGGAUAUUCACUUUGCUUGUGUGCACCUAGAAUUUUGCCAGGCAUUAAUUAAAGGGGUCAGUUAUGCAUGCUGAAAUGGUUUAUAACAACAGGUAACAUGAUGGAUAUUCACUUUGCUUGUGUGCACCUAGAAUUUUGCCAGGCAUUAAUUAAAGGGGUCAGUUAUGCAUGCUGAAAUGGUUUAUAACAACAGGUAACAUGAUGGAUAUUGGUAUCUUUGCUUGUGUGCACCUAGAAUUUUGCCAGGCAUGAAUGAAAGCUGUCAAUUGUGCAUGCUGAAAUGGUUUAUAAUAACAUGUAACAUGAUGGAUAUUGGUAUCUUUGCUUGUGUGCCAGUACAACUCUCUCUUCAUGAAGUGUGAAUCUCAGAGAUGUUCGUAAAGUGUUCAUUAAAGGAUUAUAAUUCUUUUUAAUUACUUUAAUUUACCUAUUUUUAUAAUUUAUAGUCUUUAGAUUUAUUAACUACUGAUAGCUACUAAAAAGGCAAUAAUUCAAAUGGGCAUUUAACAACUGAGGUUUAAAAAUCAGAUGACCAAUACAGGAAUAGCAAGAAAGUAAAGCAAACAAUAUAAAUAAAACAAUAAGCAUGAAAACUGGCCAUAUAGUACACUAUACUUAGUUUGUAUGUGGAUGUGGUUGAACAAAGCUCCAUGUUGGCACGACUAUGCUAGAGCAGCUUGGUGGUUGUUGAACUCCCAGCUUCCGCCCCUGCCAUGGAUACACAGAAGGUACGCCCCUGCUCCCACAUUGAUGAUGACAGACUUGGUGAGGAGGACCUUGGAAAGUCCUACAAUGAGGAGCAAGUCCAUCAGAACUGAGAUGAAGGUGGUGAAAACAUUGAGGUAUUUGGCCACGGACAAGAUGCAGCAAUGUGGCAGUGAUGACCUUGAACCCUUGCAGCCUACCAUUAGUUGUGUGAUUACUCUAAUUACCCAUGGCAGCAGCAGGCAUACCAGGCAUUGUUGGGGCCACAGAUGGCACUUCGCAUUAGAGAUGUGGCACAAAAGGAGUAUGAAGAAGAGUAUCUGAAUCGAAAAAAGUACCACACACUCAGGUGUUUGCAAGAAGAGCUGUAGAUCCAUCUCUGGAAUGCUGUGUCCCUCACAGGGGCAGCGUUUUCCCAUGGGACGGAGUAGAUCUCUGUUGGCCAC